UUCCAUUUUUCCACAGGUCACUGCUGGGGUACCUCUGCCAAAGGAAUACACAGAAGAGAAUCUUCAACUGGUGGCAAAAGGCUGCAGCAACCUAACCAAGCAAAUCCAGAAUGCACGGAUGUUUGGUGUUCCAGUGGUUGUGGCUGUCAAUGCUUUCAAGACAGAUACAAAGGCUGAACUGGCCCUUGUAGUACAACAUGCAAAGGAGGCAGGAGCAUUCGAUGCUGUGGAGUGCACUCACUGGGCAGAGGGAGGGAAAGGAGCCC